UGGAUGAUUAGCUCAGUUGGUAGAGCAGCUGACUCUUAAUCAGCGGGUCGCAGGUUCGACCCCUGCAUCAUCCACUAA
rnacentral:tRNA from 1 species